rnacentral:rRNA from 1 species
GAUGAACGCUGACAGCAUGCUUAACACAUCAGCAAUUGAUUGGUGGCGGACGGGUGAGUAACGCGUAAAGAACUUGCCUCACAGGUAGGGACAACAUUUGGAAACGAAUGCUAAUACCUAAUAAUGUGAGAGUGCUUUGCGUCCCAUUGGCUAGUGGGAGAGGUAACGGCUCACCAAGGCGAUGAUGGGUAGCCGGCCUGAGAGGGGGAUCGGCCACAUGGGGACUGAGACCCGGCCCUUACUCCUACGGGAGGCAUCAGUGGGGAAUAUUGGACAAUGGACCAAAGUCUGAUCCAGCAGUUCUGUGUGCACGAUGAAGUUUUCGGAAUGUAAAGUGAUUUCAGUUGGGAAGCGGUACCAACAGAAGAAGUGACGGCUAAAUACGUGCCAGCAGCCGCGGUAAUAC